ACCCGCAGUCCCUGUUUUUAAGUGAAAAAAACGUUUCGUCCGGGGUUGUAAAUAAAAAAAAACAGACACGAGCACGACUGCACGAGCUCUCCUCUCUCCCACGCCUCCUGAUCCCAGCCGCCAGGAGGCACGCGGCCCGUGCGGCGCUCGAUCCGGUGACGCGCCGGCCGCCGCCGACGCCGGCAAUCACAGCACCCUGCACCACCGUUCCACCUUAGCUCCUCAUCUUCCCCGCGUGCCCGAGCUCCUCCUCUCUCCCGCGUGCCCGAGCUCCUCGCUGUGUGCCGCUCGGGAGGGCUUGCGUUCGCCGCUCGACCAAAGCCACCGCGAGCUGGUCGUCGUUGCACUUGCUGGCGACCUGGCCGUCCCCUCUGCACCACUUUCACCUCAAAUUUGGACGCUCAUGUGCUUGUGGAUGUUCUCAGUUAUUUUUUGCACACAAGGUGUUUGUGUGUUUGUCUGAACCAGUUUCAGUUACAGAUCCUUGAGCCGACCUAAUUGAGCUAUCGGAGGUGUUGCGGUCUUUUAGCAAACAUGCCCUAUAUUCUAUGGUUUGGCAUCUACAGGAUGCCAUCUCUGGUCAUGGAUCCACUAUGGCUGCUUCGUCCUUCACUUAGGACCUUCUCACCCCCACAGCGAUCAGAGAGAAAAAUAUAUCUUGGAAGCAGGAACCCUUACCUCAUAAGAUGGGUGAGCUGUAGGAUUUGGUUCUGUUGAACUUGAAUUAGUUUUUGCUCAUCAUGUUCUCUGUAUUAGGAAUUCAGGUGCCUUCCAACUCUAAUUUUUUCGUAUUGUUGGUGCAUGCUGGGAGUCACAUUGUUAUGCAUGCUAGCAAACAUUAGGAUUGGAAUCUUACCCUGUAGGUUAUUAAUAUCUUUUCCACUAACCGAGAUUCAGCAAUUUAAUUCGUAUGGUCGCACAAGCAGUUUUGUUUUUGGAUUUGUCUUGACAAACGUAUUGGGUACAUCAAUUUAAUUCGUAUUAAGAUCACACAAGCAGUUAGUUCCGUUACACUUGGGUCACCGACGGUUGCCGUGCAACUAUGCUCCUCUCAUGUUGUAGUGGCUAGCUGCUGCAAUUCACGGAUCAUGCUCUCAUGGGAAGGAGGCUGUGGCUUUCUCAAUUGAUCAGAAUAACAGAACCCCACACAGUUCUUUUCUAGAUAUAUAUUGUUAUUUCUGAUGUUGUGUGGACCAUCAGAAACCUGAUGUGUGUGUGUGUAUCAUAGAAUAUCUUGCUAUUUAUGUAUAUUGCUUACCUUUCAUUCCUGUACCACUUCUCUAAAUAUAAGCCACUUCUUUUCUAUUGUUAGCGCUAUCUUUUGAUGUUAAUGCACUAAAAAUCUAAAGCCUUUCCCUCUGCAAAAUGUUGAUAUUAGAGAUUUUUUUGUGGGAAAAUGAUGAUAUUAAAGCUAUGCGUCUUAUAAUCCGUACUGUAUAUGACAAUGCGUAUUCAGUUAUAUUAUGUUUGUAGCAUGGCAUUUUUCCAUUCCUUUUUUUCCUGAUGAAUCACAUGGUAAAUUUUGAUGUACAAUGACUGCUCUUGCAAAAAAUGUGGAAUUCAGAGAGGGACUCUACAACAAGCAAGGUUUUAGGUUCUGAAUCUAAAUAACCUCUUCUUCAGUUCAGUCCUAGAAAAAGCUGAUCAGAGAAACAAAGAAGCAACAAUGAAUGGGUCCCUUUCUUGACCACACAAGAGUUGUCUGUGUGCAAGUCAUGAACCGUUUGUCCAUCAAUACAAGUGCGGGAUUUGAACAUGUUAAUUCUGACCUUCUGUUGGGAGUAGUAGUUACAUUUAUCACAUGGAAGACAAUGCCCAUGGAGUGGAAGGUGGAGAGAUUCAGACUUCGGAGGAUGUUAAUAUGCUCAUAAAAUUUCAAUUAAACUUGUAGAAAUCUUCCAUGUAGCUGUGAUUGUUCUCUCCGGACAUGGAGGAUCAGUUCUUGGACAAAUUUAUUUGUCUGUUGUAUGACUUGCCACCACUUUUUUCCAAAAUUCCUAUUCACAUGUUAUCAAACCAUAAAGAUCAAUAUCUUAAAACUUUAGUAGAAUUAAUCUGCCUUUAUUUCUGGACUCUAGCAUUUUGUGCUUCUUCACAAGUUCCAAGUUGUUAUUUGGCGAUUAAUUUAAUUUGGGUUCUUGGCACUCGCUCGUGCAGGUUAUGACUAUGCCGUAGGUGACGUGCGGAAAGGCGACCAAAGAGUACAUGAAGAAUUCUUGCUAUCAACUAGGGCUGGAUGCCCCCAGGAAGAAUGCCGUGAGUCAACUUUAAUGACUAAUAUGUUAAUUUCUUCUAGCUACACAAUAUGAGAUAUUGCUUCUUAAUUAACGCUUACUGCUACGUAGUAAGAUGACAAUGGGAUUUUGUUUCUCGAGUUGGCACUCAGUAGUAAAAGUGGUUUAUACUUCGAAUAGUUGAGCAGAAAACUGGCGUGUCAUGGCUCCUAAUGUUACAGAGCAAGUGGACAGACUCUAUCCCCCCCCCCCUCUCUAGACUUUGUUUUCUAGGUUUGGUUGGGUACAAAAGGCUAGAUUCUGGUAUAUAUUCAUUGAUGCAGAAGCUAGAAGCUCAUUGAUAUUAUUUUUCUUGCCAAACAUACAAAGGAUUGUGCAUAAAACUUCCAGCUUGAAAUCUACAUCUGGGUUACGAGCUUUCUCCAGAAUUUAAGAACAUCGUUGUGGACAUUUAGAUAUUUUUGUAGUAUUCUUCAGGGUCUUGACUUAAUUUCUUUUCACACAGUAAAAUAUUAAUUAUAUGUUGUACAGUAGUAGUACUGUGCAUACUAUGUACUCAAGUUUAUUAAAGUCAAAGCAGGAAAGGAGAUCAGAGUUCAGGGCAUGUUCAGCUCCACCCAUGCAUCAAGGGAAAUAUAUACGACGCAAAUGAUAACGUGUUCUGCUAGAUGACAUAGUACAAGGUUCAGCAGCGACGACAUGAUCUCAAACAUGCCACUGGCAUGGCACCUAUACUAAACUUGAUUUGUUCUCUCAAUAUGGAGUGUUAAUCUUCUCCUCUGCAUAGUACAAAUAUUCCCUUAGCUCAAAGGAUAUAGACAUGGUGAGUUUGGUUGGAGGAAAUAAGAAUGAUUUAUAAAAGUAAUAAAAGGGAGAUAAUGCUGCUUGA